AGCGACGAUCCAUAGCCGGCCUGAGAGGGCGACCGGCCACAUUGGGACUGAGACACGGCCCAGACUCCUACGGGAGGCAGCAGUGGGGAAUAUUGCACAAUGGGGGAAACCCUGAUGCAGCGACGCCGCGUGAAGGAUGAAGUAUUUCGGUAUGUAAACUUCUAUCAGCAGGGAAGAAAGUGACGGUACCUGACUAAGAAGCCCCGGCUAACUAC
rnacentral:rRNA from 1 species